rnacentral:rRNA from 1 species
AGCAGCCGCGGUAAUUCCAGCUCCAAUAGCGUAUAUUAAAGUUGUUGCAGUUAAAAAGCUCGUAGUUGAAUUUCGAGACCGGUUUAUUGGUCGUGCUUUUGUACGUACUGGUAUUAUUGGUUUCUCCUUUCUGACGAAUCUUAAUGCCAUUAAUUUGGUGUUUUGGGGAAUCAGGACUGUUACUUUGAAAAAAUUAGAGUGUUUAAAGCAGGCUCACGCUUGAAUACAUUAGCAUGGAAUAACGGAAUAGGACGUUUGAUUCUAUUUUGUUGGUUUCUACGAUCGACGUAAUGAUUAAUAGGGAUAGUUGGGGGCAUUAGUAUUCAAUUGUCAGAGGUGAAAUUCUUGGAUUUAUUGAAGACUAACUACUGCGAAAGCAUUUGCCAAGGAUGUUUUCAUUAAUCAAGAACGAAAGUUAGGGGAUCGAAGACGAUCAGAUACCGUCGUAGUCUUAACCAUAAACUAUGCCGACUAGGGAUCGGAUGAUGUUAAUUUUUAAUGACUCAUUCGGCGCCUUACG